ACUGCAUAUAUUUAAAUCGUAUAAAAGGAAGAUGUGAUAUACAUAUACUGUGCAAGGCAACUGCAUUGCUAACAAGCUCCCAGGUGAAGCUGCUGGUCCAGGGACCAGCGUGGGAACCGCUGAAUUUGCCCAAAGCGACGAGAGGAAGAGGAGCAGAGGUUUCCAAGCAGCAAGGACAGUGUGGGUGCUGGACUGAGGCGGACGUGAGCCCAGCAUGUUCGAGAAACUGGAAGGAGGUUAACGUGGCUGGAGUCUGUGAGCACGACAGAGGGAUAGCAGCGGGGAGAGGACCCAGGCCACGGCGAGGGCGGCCGCUCCCCGCAGGCCCCGAGGCCGCUGCGCAGGGAGACGUGAGCGUUUUGCCUGCAGACAGCUCCUCCAGGGUGCAGGAUACCUGCAACGACUCCCUGCAGGACAAACUUUAAUGCCUGAUCCCAGCGUUCAAAGCCCAGGUGGGCAUCAGUCCGGAGAGUGGACACCAAAGGCUGCCAUCGUACCCUGGGUCUUCGGAUAAGUGACCAAGACAAGCCGUCAGUGUCCUGGGCAUGGGGCCGGGCACGGCUGGGCAGGACAGAACUGCCGGCAAAAACCGGCCUCCCCCGAGGCUGACACGUGCCUGUCCAGCUGGGGGUGGGCAUCAGGGGGCAACGCUGCCCUGGCCAAGCUCGGCCACACGCCCUGGCCUUCCACCGCUCUGCCCAGCGGCGCCCACCCCUGAGGCUGUGGUGGACCCUGGUGACAGUCCAGUCCAUGUGCGCCCCGGCCACAUCCAUCCAGCCAACCAGGGAGCCGUCAGCAACCCGAGGGCAGGAGGCUCACGGGAAUGAGCGAAGCGCUGGGCGGGGAGAGGACACGCCCACGACACCCGUCCCAGCAGACGGCCUGGCAGGGCGGUCAAAGGCGUGGGCUCCGCUACGCUUCCAUCUGCCAGCCGUGCCAUCGUGGACAAGCAUCCCUUAUGUUCCCCCAUGACAGUACCCAGCUCACAAAGUUGUGAGUUUUGUUGUUGCUGUUUAGUCACUAAGUCGUGCCCGACUCUCUGCGACCCCAGGGACUGGAGCCCACCAGGCUCCU